GAAAUGAUUGGCAGACUAUUUCAAUAGUCUGGUAGAGCAGUGGUAAGAAAAGUUUACCCAAGACACUGCUAUUACAAAGUGUGACUUAAGGAGAAGAAAGUGACAGUUUUGCUGAUUUAUUCAGCACAUAUAUAAUUGCUCACCCACUGCACAGAAAGCGCUCUAACAGGUACUGGAGACAGACAGAUAGACAAGAAAGGUGAAACUCAACCUCAUGAAACUCACGAGCUAUCAGAGAAGACGUAUCCUAAACAAAUAAGCAAAUGCACAGAUGAAACAAUUUCACGCAGUGUGUUUGAAUAUUGAGCUGCAAGUCAAGCAAUGUGAUAUUCAGACUGAUUAAUGACUUGGAGAUUUCAUCUAUUGCGUUUCCAUGUCCCUGAACUGAGGAAACCAAGGUGCUCAGCUGGAGAAGAACAUCAUUGAAUCUUUGAUCAGUCACCAGACUAAAAUUUUGGAAAUGCUCUGAAUCUAUGAGAUUGGCUUCUGUAUCUGAAAUAAAUUGGAUUCUCUUCUCCA